GUGGCGCUUUAGAUCAGUACUGUCCUGCAUUGUAUAAUAAUAUUUCGGGGGAGGAAAGAAUACGUGAGGCUUGCAUAUUCUCUUGUGUUUUACUAUUACUUUUUGUAAUCUACCGAUUAAGAUUACUUCUUAAACAGUAGACCACAUUGACUUCGUGUACGCCUCAGUUGGUGACAUUAAUUUCCUGUCAGUAUACAGUGGGUGAACCAAGCUAUUUUUCCGUAAUGGUUAGUGUCACGACGUUAGCGUUUGCGCUGACAGGCGUUUUCUUUAACUGCAAUCUUGUCACUAAAUUACUUUCUUGUUGUUUAGAUUUACUUAGGUAUGUAACACAACGCCCGAGUUGAAUAAUGGAAAUAAUUAGCGCUGUAAGGAAGCCACAUGUUUUUAUAUCAUACAACGAAAAAGACACUCACUCGGUACGGGUCAUCGUAUUCCGCUGACCAUGAAGUCGUUCCCGGGAACAGCGUCAUGUCUUGGACGGGGCUCUACUACCCGUUAUUCACGUCGAGGUCUCUCGUGCAAUCUUGGGCCUUUCGAUGGUACGGCUCCAUCGUCUGAAACAAACAGCGAGACAUCAGGGGAAACAGUUCGGUUUGGCGACGCCUCAGCAUAACCUCGUUUUACUGCACCAGCAGAGGCAGCGGGUGUGCAGGCUGCGCCGUCAUCGCCAUCUCCUACGUCUUCCACGUCGUCGCUUGAAGACUCGUCGCUGCUGGAAGAGCCCUCAUUGGAAGAAUAUUCCAGGUACCAUUCUCACCGUCUCAGCA
rnacentral:lncRNA from 1 species